rnacentral:rRNA from 1 species
UGGAAUCGCUAGUAAUCGCGAAUCAGAAUGUCGCGGUGAAUACGUUCCCGGGUCUUGUACACACCGCCCGUCACACCAUGGGAGUCGGAAAUGCCCGAAGUCUGUGACCCAACCGCGAGGAGGGAGCAGCCGAAGGCAGGUCGGAUGACUGGGGUGAAGUCGUAACAAGGUAGC